UAGCUGUGAUAAGUUUGCCAUGCUAGUACCGAUGCGCCAGCCUCGCUGGGUGUAAGUGAGUUCAAAAGAACUUGUUGAACUUGAUGUUAU